rnacentral:rRNA from 1 species
CCUACGGGAGGCAGCAGUGAGGAAUAUUGGUCAAUGGACGAGAGUCUGAACCAGCCAAGUAGCGUGAAGGAUGACUGCCCUAUGGGUUGUAAACUUCUUUUAUAUGGGAAUAAAAUGUUCCACGUGUGGGAUUUUGUAUGUACCAUAUGAAUAAGGAUCGGCUAACUCCGUGCCAGCAGCCGCGGUAAUACGGAGGAUCCGAGCGUUAUCCGGAUUUAUUGGGUUUAAAGGGAGCGUAGGUGGAUUGUUAAGUCAGUUGUGAAAGUUUGCGGCUCAACCGUAAAAUUGCAGUUGAAACUGGCAGUCUUGAGUACAGUAGAGGUGGGCGGAAUUCGUGGUGGAGCGGUGAAAUGCUUAGAUAUAACGAAGAACUCCGAUUGCGAAGGCAGUUCACUGGACUGCAACUGACACUGAGGCUCGAAAGUGUGGGUAUCAAACAGGAUUAGAUACCCCAGUAGUC